GCUUAACACAUGCAAGUCGAACGCUGAAGCACCAGCUUGCUGGUGUGGAUGAGUGGCGAACGGGUGAGUAAUACGUGAGUAACCUGCCCUUGACUCUGGGAUAAGCCCGGGAAACUGGGUCUAAUACUGGAUGCUACAUGUCACCGCAUGGUGGUGUGUGGAAAGGGUUUACUGGUCUUGGAUGGGCUCACGGCCUAUCAGCUUGUUGGUGAGGUAAUGGCUCACCAAGGCGACGACGGGUAGCCGGCCUGAGAGGGUGACCGGCCACACUGGGACUGAGACACGGCCCAGACUCCUACGGGAGGCAGCAGUGGGGAAUAUUGCACAAUGGGCGAAAGCCUGAUGCAGCGACGCCGCGUGAGGGAUGACGGCCUUCGGGUUGUAAACCUCUUUCAGCAGGGAAGAAGCCACAAGUGACGGUACCUGCAGAAGAAGCGCCGGCUAACUACGUGCCAGCAGCCGCGGUAAUACGUAGGGCGCAAGCGUUGUCCGGAAUUAUUGGGCGUAAAGAGCUCGUAGGCGGUUUGUCGCGUCUGCUGUGAAAGCCCGGGGCUUAACCCCGGGUGUGCAGUGGGUACGGGCAGACUAGAGUGCAGUAGGGGAGACUGGAAUUCCUGGUGUAGCGGUGGAAUGCGCAGAUAUCAGGAGGAACACCGAUGGCGAAGGCAGGUCUCUGGGCUGUUACUGACGCUGAGGAGCGAAAGCAUGGGGAGCGAACAGGAUUAGAUACCCUGGUAGUCCAUGCCGUAAACGUUGGGCACUAGGUGUGGGGGACAUUCC
rnacentral:rRNA from 1 species